GGCAUUGUUGAAUAGAAUUUUCUUCAGUAGCUAGUUUUGUUUGGUUAGGAACGGACGGUUCCAAUCCUACACUUAUUAAAACAUUUCAGUUUUACUAGAGUGCAUUUAUAAGUUAUGUUUGGUAUCUUUUCAUUCUUUUUGAAAUUAUUUCUUAUUAUGUUUAUGAUAACUCUAGUACUGGGAAGUUCACAUCGAAACUCCCAUGAUAAGCAACCUCGGCCCGAACUUCAUGGGUCCAAUUCUUAUGGGUACUAUCAUCAUGUGCCAAAUCCUCAUGGGUUUAAUCGUCAUGGGACCGAGCAUCACAGAAAAAAGCACAGCAGCGGGAGCUCAUCCAGUUCAUCCAGUUCAUCCGGUUCAUCCUAGAGUCCCUAUACACAAAAUCAAGUAAACGCAUGUUGGUGUUAAAGAUUGCAAAUUAAAAAGGGAUUCAGCCAGUA